UGGUCCUGUAACAAAAAGACGAAAAUAAAAUGAAUGGACAUGCUUUAGCAUCUUCAGGAGAUCGAAAAGGGAAAAAAAGAAAAUUUUUUCUUGCCGAGACAGCCGAACAGUCUAUAAAGAAUCUAAAUUAUUGAUUUUAUAAAUAUUUUUUUAAAAAUAAGUUUAAUUAUAAUGUUUUGUACUGGAAUAAACUAAAAGAAUAUUGUUCCAUAAGCCAAGUAUUUAGUGCAAUCGACGAGUGAGAAAACCUCUUGACACGAACACACUCUCGUACACACAUACGCGUCACACACCUCGGGACAAUGAGAGAUUUCGCAAGGCUGCCGGUAGAAAGAUUUCUGGC